CCUACGGGAGGCAGCAGUGAGGAAUAUUGGUCAAUGGGCGUAAGCCUGAACCAGCCAAGUCGCGUGAGGGAUGAAGGUUCUAUGGAUCGUAAACCUCUUUUAUAAGGGAAUAAAGUGUGGGACGUGUCCUGUUUUGUAUGUACCUUAUGAAUAAGGAUCGGCUAACUCCGUGCCAGCAGCCGCGGUAAUACGGAGGAUCCGAGCGUUCUCCGGAUUUAUUGGGUUUAAAGGGUGCGUAGGCGGCCUUUUAAGUCAGCGGUGAAAGUCUGUGGUUCAACCAUAGAAUUGCCGUUGAAACUGGGAGGCUUGGUUAUGUUGGAGGCAGGCGGAAUGCGUGGUGUAGCGGUGAAAUGCUUAGAUAUCACGCAGAACCCCGAUUGCGAAGGCAGCCUGCCAAGCCAUGACUGACGCUGAUGCACGAAAGCGUGGGGAUCAAACAGGAUUAGAUACCCCAGUAGUC
rnacentral:rRNA from 1 species